AGCAAAGUCAGUUCCAGCCAGACAGAUUCUCAGAUGUUGCCAGCAAAAUCAACAAUUUCCUUAAGGCAUACAGAUAUAACUGCUUUUGAAAUCGUUGGAUCAAUUACAAAUGACAUGAAGAGCCUUUUCCCACCCACAGAGUCUUCUACUACUCUAUGGCAGGCAGACUCUAUGCUUCAACAGAGUGAUGAGAAAACCUCAGAGUACACUGAGGCCACACCCAAAGGCUCACAGUCUGGUUUGGAAGUAUCUGAGAAGAAGAUCUGGACAACUGCAAAGACUAUUUACCACAAUGUGAAGACAAAGAUGAGGAAUUAUUUUACAUGGCAAAAUCAAGUCAAAGCAACAACGGCUCAAGCCAAAAAGACCCUCAGCCAUAUUCUGGUUUCAAUUCAGAAAGAGCUGUCAAAAUCUGACCAAACGGUGACUGCGCUUUCACAAAUAGAGAAUGUGGUUGGAAUGAUGCUGAAGGAUGUUGAAAGGGUAAGCAGUGAAUGUGGUGAGGAACUGAUCUAUCAAGCGCCACAGCGUUCUUCCUCCUCGUUGUCAUCCUCAUCUGCCAGAUCAAAGAAGUCAGAGUGGGAAUUUUCACUCCCUGGCACUCCCAUCUCUUCUGAUUUACCAGAGUGUAUUACUCAGCCCAUUGUGAGAUGCUCAGUCAUCGACAUGGGCAAAUCUACUAAGCCAAAAACAUUGGUGUGUGAUGCCAGGGAAAGCAUGUCUGCAAUAGUGGAUACCAUCAUAAAGGAGGUACAUCCAGAGGAAGAAGGGGAGGUUGCAUUCCACCCUGAUCUAACAGCUGCAAUAGCAAGACUGGAGGAGCUCAUAUCUCAGGGUAGGAUUGGUGCUCUCUCACGUGAUCUUACUCACCAAGUCAACCGCAUCAUUUCUGAGAGCAACUUGACCCCUCUGGUUCUGACAGUGGCGGCUGGAAAGAGUGCAUCCGAUACAGUCCUUACUGAGCUGAAGAGGAAUGACAAGACGGUGGGGAAGCCCACAGCUUACAAGCUGGUUCAGCUUUUUGCAGAGGAGUCUGUGAAGCGCCUCUUGCUUCCUAGCCUUGUGCCCUCUACAGCUUCAAUGAGUUUGGCUCAGGGAGUUAGUGUGCCGGCUAGCGUAUCUGAAGAUAGGAUUUCAUGUUCUUUUUCCUACAUCAGCAUUUAGUGACACAGUCAGCCUGUUUACCAAAGUAAUGGUAAGCCAGGUCAUGGACUCUGUGGUUUCUGAUGCACAAAGCAGAGGGUCAUCUCCAACCGGAACUGUAACUGAUAUAGGCAGUCUACUGAGUGGUAAGUCCUACCCUCUGCCAUCUUUCUCCGCCAUCAGCAUGACAACAAGUGGGACCUCCAAUGCUGCACGAGGCUUUGAGGCCAACAUAGAUGCUGAGGAAAGGGAUACCAUCAGUUGUUUCGGUGUACCUCAGAGCAUUGUUUGUGAUCAGAAUUCAACCAGCCCGGAUGUUGCCUCGCUUUCAACCCCAUCCACUGACAACUUAGUCGGUGAUGAUGACUUCACCGGCCUCAUCAGCAUGUUAGUGGUGAGACUUCUGUCAAAAAUCCAAACCCAAACUGAUCUGUACCCAACUGACGUCACACGCACGUCACAAGACCUGAUUCCAAAAGUUAUAGCUGCCUUCUGUGCAUGGUCAGGCUGCUCUGAGACCCAAGCUUAUCCCAAGAACCUGAAGAGUCACAAAGUAUACAGCACCGUCUACAAACAUCUGUUGAAGGAGUUUGGCUCAGAGAAAAUACUCCAACUGGCCGUGUCGACUCAGGACUCCACAUUCAAUAGGAUUCUUGUGAAGUCAUUGAGCAAGGAGCUUCUCCACAGUUGUAACGAGGCAUCAAGAGCAGCCUCAAGAACAUCUUUCGAAGCCACCAGGCCAGAAGCUCUUCUCAUGGCUGAAGAUGUGAAGGCUACCAGAGGGAAGCUGUCUUUCCUACAAAGGCUUGCCAGACUGAAAUUCGACUUAAAGCCAUUCAUGAUGGGAAACAAGAAGGAUUCCAAGAAGAAUUCCCGCCAUUCUGAAUCCAAAGACCAGACUACUGCUGAAGAUAUCAUAUUGGCACAUCCUGGACUCCCAGAGGGUCUUCCCUCCACCUCUCAACAGGAGAAGCCUCGCAAACGUCCCCUUCUAAUCAGGAUGUUUUCCACCAUCUCCAUAGGCCUAUCCAAGCCAUUCAAACGGUUUUCAAAGCAAGCUUAAUACAACAAUUUCCUUUAAUACAGUAAUAUUUGCAUUGAA